GACGAACGCUGGCGGCGUGCUUAACACAUGCAAGUCGAACGGAAAGGCCCUUCGGGGUGCUCGAGUGGCGAACGGGUGAGUAACGCGUGGGUGAUCUGCCCUGCACUUUGGGAUAAGCCUGGGAAACUGGGUCUAAUACCGAAUACACCCUGCUGGUUGCAUGACCUGGUGGGGGAAAGCUUUUGCGGUGUGGGAUGGGCCCGCGGCCUAUCAGCUUGUUGGUGGGGUGAUGGCCUACCAAGGCGACGACGGGUAGCCGGCCUGAGAGGGUGACCGGCCACACUGGGACUGAGAUACGGCCCAGACUCCUACGGGAGGCAGCAGUGGGGAAUAUUGCACAAUGGGCGCAAGCCUGAUGCAGCGACGCCGCGUGGGGGAUGACGGCCUUCGGGUUGUAAACCUCUUUCAGUAGGGACGAAGCGCAAGUGACGGUACCUACAGAAGAAGGACCGGCCAACUACGUGCCAGCAGCCGCCGUAAGAC
rnacentral:rRNA from 1 species